rnacentral:rRNA from 1 species
GAUGAACGCUAGCUACAGGCUUAACACAUGCAAGUCGAGGGGCAGCGCAGUGUAGCGAUACAUGGGCGGCGACCGGCGCACGGGUGCGUAACGCGUAUCCAACCUUCCCGUUACUCAGGGAUAGCCUUCCGAAAGGGAGAUUAAUACCUGAUGGUGUUGAAAUUCAGCAUGUUAUUUCAACUAAAGAUUUAUCGGUAACGGAUGGGGAUGCGGGACAUUAUAUAGUAGGCGGGGUAACGGCCCACCUAGUCUACGAUGUCUAGGGGUUCUGAGAGGAAGGUCCCCCACACUGGAACUGAGACACGGUCCAGACUCCUACGGGAGGCAGCAGUGAGGAAUAUUGGUCAAUGGUCGGAAGACUGAACCAGCCAAGUAGCGUGAAGGAUGAAGGUUCUAUGGAUUGUAAACUUCUUUUAUACGGGAAUAAAACCUCCCACGUGUGGGAGCUUGUAUGUACCGUAUGAAUAAGCAUCGGCUAACUCCGUGCCAGCAGCCGCGGUAACAC